GAUGAAGAACGCAGCGAAAUGCGAUACGUAAUGUGAAUUGCAGAAUUCAGUGAAUCAUCGAGUCUUUGAACGCACAUUGCGCCCCCUGGUAUUCCGGGGGGCAUGCCUGUCCGAGCGUCAUUGCUGCCCUCAAGCACGGCUUGUGUGUUGGGCCUCCGUCCUCCUCCCGGGGGACGGGCCCGAAAGGCAGCGGCGGCACCGCGUCCGGUCCUCGAGCGUAUGGGGCUUCGUCACCCGCUCUUGUAGGCCCGGCCGGCGCCUGCCGACACAUCAAUCUUUUUUCCAGGUUGACCUCGGAUCAGGUAGGGAUACCCGCUGAACUUAAGCAUAUCAAUAAGCGGAGGA
rnacentral:misc_RNA from 1 species